GACGAACGCUGGCGGCGUGCUUAACACAUGCAAGUCGAACGGAGUGGCGAACGGGUGAGUAACACGUGGGUGAUCUGCCUUGCACUACGGGCUAAGCUUGGGAAACUGGGUCUAAUACCGGAUAGUGCAAGAUUAGCUCGCGGCCUAUCAGCUUGUUGGUUGGGUAAUGGCCUACCAAGGCGUCGCCGGGUAGCCGGCCUGAGAGGGUGUACGGCCAAAUUGGGACUGAGAUACGGGCCAGAAUCCUACGGGAGGGAGGAGUUGGGAAUAUUGGAAAAUGGGCGGAAAGCUGAAGCCGGGGAGGCGGGUGGGGGAUGAAGGCCUUCGGGUUGUAAACUCAUUUCGACAGGGACGCGGUACCUGUAUAAGAAGCACCGGCUAACUACGUGCCAGCAGCCGCGGUAAUUC
rnacentral:rRNA from 1 species